rnacentral:rRNA from 1 species
AGCGAGCGCUGGCGGCAGGCUUAACACAUGCAAGUCGAGCGGGCACUUUCGGGUGUCAGCGGCGGACGGGUGAGUAACGCGUGGGAACGUGCCCUCUGGUUCGGAAUAACUCAGGGAAACUUGAGCUAAUACCGGAUACGCCCUUUUGGGGAAAGGCUUGCUGCCGGAGGAUCGGCCCGCGUCUGAUUAGCUAGUUGGUGAGGUAACGGCUCACCAAGGCGACGAUCAGUAGCUGGUCUGAGAGGAUGAUCAGCCACACUGGGACUGAGACACGGCCCAGACUCCUACGGGAGGCAGCAGUGGGGAAUAUUGGACAAUGGGCGCAAGCCUGAUCCAGCCAUGCCGCGUGAGUGAUGAAGGCCUUAGGGUUGUAAAGCUCUUUUAUCCGGGACGAUAAUGACGGUACCGGAGGAAUAAGCCCCGGCUAACUUCGUG